AGUGAACGCUGGCGGUAGGCCUAACACAUGCAAGUCGAACGGCAGCACAGUAAGAGCUUGCUCUUACGGGUGGCGAGUGGCGGACGGGUGAGACAUACAUCAGCAUCUACUUAUUCGUGGGGGGCAACGUAGGGACACUUACGCUAAUACCGCAUACGACCUACGGGUGAAAGCAGGAGAUCUUCAGACCUUUCGUGUCUGAAUUAGACGAUGUCGGAUUAGCUAGUCGGCGGGGUAAAGGCCCACCAAGGCGACGAUCCGUAGCUGGUCUGAGAGGAUGAUCAGCCACACUGGAACUGAGACACGGUCCAGACUCCUACGGGAGGCAGCAGUAGGGAAUAUUGCACAAUGGGCGCAAGCCUGAUCCAGCCAUACCGCGUGGGUGAUGAAGGUCUUCGGGUUGUAAAGCUCUGUUGUUGGGAAAGAAAAACAGCAGGUGAAAACCCGGAUGUUUUGACGGUACCCAAAGAAAAAGCACCGGCUAACUUCGUG
rnacentral:rRNA from 1 species